GCCGGUGUAGCUCAGCGGUAGAGCAACUCUUUCGUAAAGAGGAGGUCGGAGGUUCAACUCCUCUCACCGGCUCCA
rnacentral:tRNA from 1 species